UUGUGCAUAUGUAGGUUGUAUCAUGAGCUUGGGAGCUUUAAAAAAAAAAAAAAAAAACACUUUAUGCUCUGCUGCUUCUUGCUUCAUACAUCCACCAAACAUACGUUGACCAAACACUCAUCCACGCACCAAAAGAAACCCCAAUUUUCACCCGUAUCACAAAAUCAAUACCUUUAUUCAAGGUUCUUCCUUGUAUAGCUUAUGGAUGUUACCGGUGGUUAAGGCUGAAAGAGGCGACGACAGGAGACACUCCGGCGGCGAGAUUAGGGUUUCGCCAUCAUCCUUGAUAGUGGUGGCGACCGGUGGUUAAGGCUGAAAAGGAGUAGAUCAAAGAGGUUCAACUGGGGUAGAAUUAGGUUGAUUUGUGGUGGUGGAUGGUUGUGUUUCGAUGGUCAAUCGCUAGCGUGCAGAUUUACACUUCAUCUAGAAGGGAGAUGUGUAACUGAAUCAUUGGUGGUGGAUGGCAACACAACUGCAACCUUAAUACUCUUUCUCAAGUGUCAAAGAGGAUGGCCGUGCAGCAGGAUCAGAGAAUAAGGGUCUGGAAAGUUAUCAGUGGACGACGGUCAAGAGAAUAAAAGUCGUGCUGCCUCAGAUGUUGCAAAAUUACUUGAUAAUAAUAAACUUUCUACAAAGGAAAAACCUGAUUCGGUUUCUUCUGAGUCCAAGAUUAAAGAUACUCAUGAAAUAGAUAACUUUUCUACUGAAAAGAAAAAGAAGAAAAGGAAAAGGAAAAGGAAACAGGUAGACGAUCUUCGGUUUGUGGCUGAACUAGGUGCAGUUGGUCCAAAAAGGAAGGAACGAAAGAAAAAACUUCUAGAAGAAAGGAAAAAGAAACACAAGAAGGCGAAGCAAGAAGAUGAUUUUAACUUUCUGGGUCGUGAAGAGAAAGGUUGUUCAAGCUCCACCAAAAUUGGUCAAUGUUCCCAAGACAUGUUUGCCUGUGCGUUUGAGCAGCACAGAGAGAAGGGUGUUGCCACGCCGUUGUCGGUGGCUCUGGCCGUCUAUGGCGGCUACGACUUUACGCUGCGCGAUGUGUUUUUUUGGUAGUGUUCACGGUUUAAAACUUUUGCUUGUCCGUGAGUUUGAUUUGAGAUCAGAAUGACGUUGCGAAAUUCUAGUAUGCUACAUUGCACCUUUAACUAUCAUUACCCUAUUUAGAGGUAAAAAUUACACUGGCUAUGAUGACUUUUGUUGUUUUUUCUUUGUGAUGUUUCUUGCAGGAUGGAUUGUUCAUGAAAGAGUCUUUUUUUCUCAGGUUUAAAAGUCCUAAUCCUUCUUGUGUGCUAAAAUUAUUAACAUGUGUGCGUUGAUAUUCUUAGCUACUUAGUGUCAUCGGGAUUGACCAACAAAUGACAUAACAAUAACCCUUUUGUACAAGUUGUGAACAUACGAAUUCAACAACCUUUUGUAUGACUUAGUUAGCAACAUUAUGGCAUGUGAGUGAAAAAAAAACAUCUUGAUGUAACAACCAUAUGGCUUCAGCUAAUGUGUAUGAAACUAGCACCCCGCCGCAUUGCGGCGGGUGGUAAUUCUAGUUAAUAUUAA